CCUACGGGAGGCUGCAGUGAGGAAUAUUGGUCAAUGGACGAGAGUCUGAACCAGCCAAGUAGCGUGAAGGAUGACUGCCCUAUGGGUUGUAAACUUCUUUUAUAUGGGAAUAAAAUGUUCCACGUGUGGGAUUUUGUAUGUACCAUAUGAAUAAGGAUCGGCUAACUCCGGGCCAGCAGCCGCGGUAAUACGGAGGAUCCGAGCGUUAUCCGGAUUUAUUGGGUUUAAAGGGAGCGUAGGUGGAUGGUUAAGUCAGUUGUGAAAGUUUGCGGCUCAACCGUAAAAUUACAGUUGAAACUGGCAGUCUUGAGUACAGUAGAGGUGGGCGGAAUUCGUGGUGUAGCGGUGAAAUGCUUAGAUAUCACGAAGAACUCCGAUUGCGAAGGCAGUUCACUGGACUGCAACUGACACUGAGGCUCGAAAGUGUGGGUAUCAAACAGGAUUAGAUACCCGGGUAGUC
rnacentral:rRNA from 1 species